CCUACGGGUGGCAGCAGUGGGGAAUAUUGCACAAUGGGGGAAACCCUGAUGCAGCGACGCCGCGUGAGUGAAGAAGUAACUCGUUAUGUAAAGCUCUAUCAGUAGGGAAGAAAAUGACGGUACCUGAGUAAGAAGCUCCGGCCAAGUACGGUCCAGCAGCCGCGGUAAUACGGAGGGGGCAAGCGUUAUCCGGAUUUACUGGGUGUAAAGGGAGCGUAGACGGCAUUGCAAGUCAGGAGUGAAAGGCGGCGGCUCAACCGCAGGAGUGCAAUGGAGACUGUAAGACUGGAGUGCAGGUGAGGUAGGUGGAAUUCGUAGUGUAGCGGUGAAAUGCUUAGAUAUUAGGAAGAACACCGAUGGCGAAGGCAGCUUACUAAACUGUAACUGACAUUGAGGCUCGAAAGUGUGGGGAGCAAACAGGAUUAGAUACCCUGGUAGUC
rnacentral:rRNA from 1 species